UCACCCCUCAAGCCCCGGGCUUGGUGUUGGACGGCCGGUCGAGCGAUCGACCCCUCCGAAAGACAAUGACGGCGGCCUGCGGUUCCCCCGGCACACUGAGCUUCUCACCGAGCACGUGCCGGACGAGGGCACCCGGGACCCGGUCCCCUCCUUGCCCACGCAAGGAAACUUCUUAU
rnacentral:misc_RNA from 1 species